rnacentral:rRNA from 1 species
AUUGAACGCUGGCGGCAUGCUUUACACAUGCAAGUCGAACGGUAACAGGCCGCAAGGUGCUGACGAGUGGCGAACGGGUGAGUAAUGCAUCGGAACGUGCCCAGUCGUGGGGGAUAACUACUCGAAAGAGUAGCUAAUACCGCAUACGAUCUAUGGAUGAAAGCGGGGGACCGUAAGGCCUCGCGCGAUUGGAGCGGCCGAUGUCAGAUUAGGUAGUUGGUGGGGUAAAGGCUCACCAAGCCAACGAUCUGUAGCUGGUCUGAGAGGACGAACAGCCACACUGGGACUGAGACACGGCCCAGACUCCUACGGGAGGCAGCAGUGGGGAAUUUUGGACAAUGGGCGCAAGCCUGAUCCAGCAAUGCCGCGUGCAGGAAGAAGGCCUUCGGGUUGUAAACUGCUUUUGUACGGAACGAAACGGCUCUGGUUAAUACCCGGGGCUAAUGACGGUACCGUAAGAAUAAGCACCGGCUAACUACGUG